CCCCUAGUAACGGCGAGUGAAGCGGGAAGAGCUCAUGUUGUAAAUCUCCAGCUUGCUGGCGAAUUGUAGUCUAAAGGUGCGUGCUCAGUCGUGGUCCCGGGCUAAGUCUGUUGGAAAACAGCAUCAUGGACGGUGACAAUCCGGUUCUUGCCUGGGGUCCCGCGGCGUACGAGCCGUUUCCGACGAGUCGUGUUGCUUGGGAUUGCAGCACUAAGUGGGUGGUAAAUUCCAUCUAAAGCUAAAUAUUGGUGGGAGACCGAUAGCGAACAAGUACCGUGAGGGAAAGAUGAAAAGACUUUUGAAAAGAGAGUAAAAUAGUACCUGAAACUGCUGAAAGGGAAGCGAUUGAAGUCAGUGUUGCUCCUGGUCUUUUUGCCGUCGCCCCCGUGGGGGUUGCGGCGUGGGGCCUGGAGCGUUUCAACAUGCGUUCUGUUCCGCGGGAAAUGUUCAGUGUGCUGGAACCUUCGGGGAAACGCACUGUUCUUGUCGUGGUUAGGACGGAGGACCUUUGCUCCUUUGACUGCGCGUUCCUCUCUCGGGUAUGCUGGUGUCUACUGCUUGCAGUUUUCAUUUUCAUGCUUGCGACUGUGCGUGUUAUUCAUGAGCGAACAUGAUGUUGAAGAAAUGGCUUUAAUUACCCCGUC
rnacentral:rRNA from 1 species